AUUGAACGCUGGCGGCAUGCUUUACACAUGCAAGUCGAACGGUAACAGGCCUUCGGGUGCUGACGAGUGGCGAACGGGUGAGUAAUGCAUCGGAACGUGCCCAGAGGUGGGGGAUAACGCAGCGAAAGCUGUGCUAAUACCGCAUGUGAUCUGAGGAUGAAAGCGGGGGACCAGGCAGCAAUGUUUGGCCUCGCGCCUUUGGAGCGGCCGAUGUCAGAUUAGGUAGUUGGGGGGGUAAAGGCCUACCAAGCCGACGAUCUGUAGCUGGUCUGAGAGGACGACCAGCCGCACUGGGACUGAGACACGGCCCAGACUCCUACGGGAGGCAGCAGUGGGGAAUUUUGGACAAAGGGCGCAAACCUGAUCCAGCAAUGCCGCGUGCGGGAAGAAGGCCUUCGGGUUGUAAACCGCUUUUGUACGGAACGAAAAGGCUCUGGCUAAUACCUGGGGCUGAUGACGGUACCGGAAGAAUAAGCACCGGCUAACUACGUG
rnacentral:rRNA from 1 species